GAGUUUGAUGAUGGCUCUGAAUGAACGCUAUCCAAAUGCUUGACACAUGCUAAUCGAACGUCAAUCAAUGUUAAACCAAGAUUGAAGUGGUGUACAGGUGAGUAUGAUAUCGACCAAACCUUAAAGUAGGGGAAUAUAAAAUCCCCUAUAAAUAAUAAAGAAAAAAAUGAAUUUUCGCUUUAAGAAGUUUAUAUCUCGAGUAGUAUUUGCUUAAGUUUGAAACUUGAGUUAGCUUAAUACUCGUAGCCAAGACUGGAAGGUUUAUUGGUCACAGUGGGUCUGAAGAAAGCCCACGCUAAAUCCAGCAGUGAGGAAUAUUGGUCAAUAGCCUAACCGGCUGAACCAGCAACUUGGAGGAAUGGAUAGGGAAAGCCGGUAAAAGGCAAUGUACCUAGUAAUAUUAGAAAUGAAUAUGAGGUUAACGAAGUUAAUUAAAAUUCGAAGUAGGUAGGUGAUUAUGACAAUAUCUGCUGAUGUCUUGACCAAGUCACGUGCCAGCAGUCGCGGUAAUACGUGGAAGAUAAGUGUUAUUCAUCUUUAAUAGGUUUAAAGGGUACCUAGACAGUUAAUUAAGCAAGAAAUUGUACUAAUUAAAACUAGAGUUUAAUAAAGGAAGGGUCAGUACGAUGCGGAGUAGAGAUAAAAUUCUUUGAUACUUAUGGGGACUGGUAAAGGCGAAGGCAACCUUUUAUGUAAAAACUGACGUUGAGGGACGAAGGCUCAAGGAGAAAAAAGAGGAUUAGAUACCCUUGUAUAGUGGGCAGACAAUGAUGAGUGUCAUAUGUAAGAUAUUUUUUUGUGUAUAAAUGAAAGUGUAAGCACUCCACCUCAAGAGUAACGUGGCAACAUGGGAACUGAAAUCAUUAGGCCGUUUCUGAAACUCGUAGUGAAGUAUGUUGUUUAAUUUGUUGGUCCUCAAAUAACCUUACCACAAUUUGUAUAGCUUGUAAUUUUACAUUCGGUUUUUAUAUAUAAAAACUUGUAUGCUAUGUUUAUAUAAUAUAGUAGAACUUACAAGCUACAAGCGUUGCACGGCUGUUUUUAGUCAAUGUUGUGAAACUUUGGUUAGGUCCAUUAAAUUGAUGUAAGCCCUUGCUUUAUUUAAUAAAAAGUAGUUCGCCACUGUAUUGGUAGCGAUAUAAGGGACUAAGACAAGUCAUCAUGACCUGAACAUUGUGGGCUAUAGACGUGCCACAUUACCCUAAACAAAAAGAUGCAAAAUUGUGAAAUUUAGCUAAUCUUUAAAAAGGAAAUAAAAUGAAUUGUAGUCUGAAAUUCGACUACAUGAAAAAGGAAUUACGAGUAAUCGUGUAUCAUUACGGCACGGUGGAUGUUUCUUCAGCUAGGUACUUACUACUCGUCAAGCGCUGAAAGGAGGGGGGCAAUAAGUUUGGCUACUAUACUAUUUAAUUUAAAUCAAUAUUUUUAAAUUUUUAAUAUGCAGGUCUUCGUAUGUCUGUCUCUGAUUGGUGUUAAGUCGAAAUACGGUUCGUGUAGUGGAAACUGC
rnacentral:rRNA from 1 species